rnacentral:rRNA from 1 species
GACGAACGCUGGCGGCGUGCCUAAUACAUGCAAGUCGUGCGGACCUUUUAAAAGCUUGCUUUUAAAAGGUUAGCGGCGGACGGGUGAGUAACACGUGGGCAACCUGCCUGUAAGACUGGGAUAACGCCGGGAAACCGGGGCUAAUACCAGAUCGUUUUUUCCUCCGCAUGGAGGAAAAAGGAAAGGCGGCUUCGGCUGCCACUUACAGAUGGGCCCGCGGCGCAUUAGCUAGUUGGCGGGGUAACGGCCCACCAAGGCAACGAGGCGUAGCCGAACUGGGAGGGUGAGCGGCCACAUUGGGACCGAGACACGGCCCAAACGGCCACGGGAGGCAGCAGUAGGGAAUCUUCCGGAAUGGACGAAAGUCUGACGGAGCAACGCCGCGGGAGUGAAGAAGGCCUUCGGGUCGUAAAACUCUGUUGCCGGGGAAGAACAAGUGCCGUUCGAACAGGGCGGCGCCUUGACGGUACCCGGCCAGAAAGCCACGGCUAACUACGUG